AACGAGGCCGACCUGCGGCUGAGUUACCUGCGGAAGGAUCAUUAUUAGGUCUGUCGAUGUUGAUUUUUUAAAAAUCUUCUCGACAAUCUUGAUCAUUCCCUAUGUGCACUUUUGAAAACAAUGCUUUGGUAGACUCUCUACCAAAAGUUUUAAUUAUCGCCUUAUUUUUUGGACUGAAGAAAUAUAUAUUGAAAUUAUAAAACAACUUUCAACAACGGAUCUCAGAUCGGAAGAGCACAC
rnacentral:misc_RNA from 1 species